GGCAUGCCUUACACAUGCAAGUCGAACGCGAAAGUGUCUUCGGACAUUAGUAGAGUGGCAAACGGGUGAGUAACGCGUGGGAAUCUACCUUAUAGUACGGGAUAGCCUCGGGAAACUGGGAUUAAUACCGUAUACUCCCUUCGGGGGAAAGAUUUAUCGCUAUAAGAUGGGCCCGCGUCAGAUUAGCUAGUUGGUGGGGUAAAAGCCUACCAAGGCAACGAUCUGUAGCUGGUCUGAGAGGACGAUCAGCCACACUGGGACUGAAACACGGCCCAGACUCCUACGGGAAGCAGCAGUGGGGAAUAUUGGACAAUGGACGCAAGUCUGAUCCAGCAAUGCCGCGUGAAUGAUGAAGGCCUUAGGGUUGUAAAGUUCUUUUAGUGGGGAAGAUAAUGACGGUACCCACAGAAAAAGCACCGGCUAACUUCGUGCCAGCCGCCGCCGUAA
rnacentral:rRNA from 1 species